rnacentral:misc_RNA from 1 species
GACGACAUGCCGUUGGAAGAUAAGUUGUAAGAAAUAAUUCAAUUCCCGUCAAACCACACUUCAAUUUAUCCAAAUUUCGAAAGGGAAACAACCUGCAGCUGCAGCCUGCAAGAAAUUCUAUUCAUAGCAGCCCAGAAUCCAAGAGACUAUAAUGGUUGCAUGCCUGUCAUGCACUGUCAGCACUCCCUGUAGAAGAACUCCAUUUCUGAGCUCUCGCUGUCCCACCAAUAAGCCUAAGUUUGGUUCUCAGGAAGCUCUCAUCCUUAUUCAAAAGUGCUCUAAUUUCACCCAUCUCAAGCUUAUUCACGCUAAGAUCAUUCGGAAUGACCUUUCUUAUGAUCAAUUGCUUGUUAGAAAAUUGCUUCACUUGUGCUUCUCUUAUGGGAAAAUGGAUUAUGCCACUCUGCUUUUCCAUCGAAUCCCACACCCGCAUACCUUUACUUGGAAUUUCACGAUUAGAGCCUAUACCCAUAAUGGUUGCUCUCAACAAGCUCUUCUUCUUUAUAACCUUAUGAUAUGCCGGGGCUUUUCGCCUGAUAAGUUCACUUUUCCCUUCGUUGUCAAAGCUUGCUUGGCCUCUUUUGCUCUUGACAAAGGAAAGGAGGUUCAUGGAUUUGCUAUUAAAACUGGGUUUUGGAAAGACACUUUUUUGCACAACACUUUGAUGGAUAUUUAUUUCAAGUGCGGGGAUGUGGAUUAUGGGCGUAAAGUGUUUGACAAAAUGCGUGUACGUAGCGUUGUCUCGUGGACCACUUUCGUUGCUGGACUCGUUGCUUGCGGGGAACUGGAUGCUGCUCGUGGGGCUUUCGACCAAAUGCCAAUGAGAAAUGUUGUUUCUUGGACGGCAAUGAUUAAU